rnacentral:rRNA from 1 species
ACGAACGCUGGCGGCGUGCUUAACACAUGCAAGUCGAACGGAAAGGCCCCUUUGGGGGUACUCGAGUGGCGAACGGGUGAGUAACACGUGAGUAACCUGCCCUUGACUUCGGGAUAACUUCAGGAAACCGGGGCUAAUACCGGAUAGGAAUCCUUGCUGCAUGGUGGGGGUUGGAAAGCUUCGGCGGUUUUGGAUGGACUCGCGGCUUAUCAGCUUGUUGGUGGGGUAGUGGCUUACCAAGGCUUUGACGGGUAGCCGGCCUGAGAGGGCGACCGGCCACAUUGGGACUGAGAUACGGCCCAGACUCCUACGGGAGGCAGCAGUGGGGAAUAUUGCACAAUGGGCGGAAGCCUGAUGCAGCAACGCCGCGUGCGGGAUGACGGCCUUCGGGUUGUAAACCGCUUUCAGCAGGGGCGAAGCUUGUGGUGACGGUACCUGCAGAAGAAGCACCGGCUAACUACGUG